rnacentral:lncRNA from 1 species
GAAGAUGUGUGAUGGAGAAGAUCAUAAAGUCUCUCUAGAGCUGGGCAUCAGCUUAAGGCCAAGUAAGGAGGACUUAAGAAGGACCACGGAAAAAUUGAAUGAAUGGGGAAUAAAGCAAAGCUGAAUUGCUACUGGAGUUAAAAGGAGUUACUGAUGGUGGAAAGAAGUCAGGCCCGCUGGUGUUUUACCAUAACAAAUAUCUGAAGUAAUCUCCAUACCUUCAGAUCUCCUUGUGGCUGCAAUAGCUCUUCAUAUGGAACUAGCCAUCUACCAAAUUAUUUCCUUUCUCAACAAACAUCACUCACAGCCCUAUUAUGACUGGAAGUCUUUUUAAUAAAACUGUCUGUGAAGAUUGCAAAAUAAACCUAUGGAGCAGCGUCCUCACUACUUCCAUCUGUUUUUCCACAAAUUUCUCUCCCUUUUCCACAGAGCAGGUUUGUAUUUCCAAGAAGGUGUAUCUUCAGGAGUUCUAAUAAAGAACAGCUGAAUGCAGCAAUCUUUGCCAUCAAUACAGCCAACCUUCAAGGAAUCACUUUUCACAAAUGAUCUGACGUGGACAGUGUAUACAUAAACAUUAUCUAUGAAGACAAAAAAGGACAAGAAGAGCAGGUAUCUAUCUCAUGGCACACUGGACAGUGGGACUAGAAGAAGCAGAUUAUUCUGGGGGUCGACUUUGCAAAUGCAACACAUUAUUAGGGAAACUGGGAUCCAGUUACUGAGUGGCCUAAAUGACCAGAAAUCCCAAAGAUCCACCUAUUACUGUUGACAGAGAAGAAAAGUCAUGAAAGUUCCUUUCAGUCCUGUGACUGCUGGGCACUGAUUCUGCAUUCAAGAUGUGUUUCUAGAUGUGAGUGGCCAUACUUUAUUGCUUGUGGCUUAUGGAAUGGAUAAC